CCGCGCGUCCCCUCCCAGCUGCAUUCCUGCCGCCCGCCUGGCCCUCCGAUCCCCUCCCCGCCUGCCGCCGCGCCCCUCCCGGCCCGGUGCUGGGGGUCGCACUGUCCCCGGGGACGGCUGGGGCUAAGCCGCGCCCUUGGCCCGGAGGGCAAGGCCCGAACCUACUCUGCUGGUGACCUGGGCAGGCGGCCUCUACCCGCGGGGCCCCACGCGCGUCGAAUUAACGCCUUCCAACCGUUUAUUGAAUUUAAACGUAAUGGGCCACUCGCGCAUCGGGUCGCGCAGAGGUGGACCCAGUCGGCCUCCCCUGCAGCGCAGGCGGCGCCUGGUCCCAGGAAAGCUCCCGGAGGGUCUGGGGUGCGGGCUGGGGCCAGGCGGGCUCUGGGGCAGAGCAGGGUGAGGCCUCUUGCAGGCCCGGUCGAGGUCCUGGGGGACGUCGGGGUCCUCCUCAGGAGACAGCGCCACUUCCAAGAGGUCCUAAGACAAAGGGGGCCAGUAGGGGCCUCUGGGUGGGAGGCAGGCUGCGCUUCUCCACAGCCCACUUCCCUCACAGCCUACCCCAGGGUCACCCCCUGCCAGGUCCCUGUCCUGGUGACCCCACCUGGGCCCCCAACCACCCCACCUGCUUCUGCCUUGGACAGAGAGGCCUGAGCCCUCCCGCGUGCCUGCCCACCACGUUCUCAUUCCAAGGACAUCUGCUCAGCGCCCUGUGGGUUUUCUCCUUCCCUGCCCAGUCCCCACAGCCAUGCCUUCCAAGUCCCUUACCAGCCUGGGCAAGGCUGGCACCUGUGGACUGUGAAUGGGUAUUGGGGUGGCAGCGAGGGAGUUCCACUGUAGCCCAGCCAUCUGCAAUUCAGAGUUGGAUAUUGGGGCUGACUGUCCUAAGUCCCCUCCUCACGGACCCUCUGUCCUCAGACCCCCGUCAUCUCCUUGCUGGGGCCGCUCACCCUCCCAUCCUUCAAGAAAGCAGCUCCUUUCUUUGUCACAGCCCUCCUUCAGUCACCUGUGCCCGGAGUGGGUGGUGGGUGGUCAGUUUAUCCUUCACGCCCAGACACCCAGGAGACCACCUCCCGGUAGAAAGCACCCUCUCGCAGAAUGCGGCAGCACAGAGGUCACAGUGGCUCCCAGGCAGCCCUUCCCUCCUGCAAAGUCAGAUGGAGGUCUAAGGAACCAAGUGCUCCGCCUGAACGAGGAUGACCUGGAGAGGUCUGUCGCCUGAAUGAGAGUCACUGAGUUUACACUGCAGGAGAGCUGCUCCCAAGACCAAGGCCCUGCGAUUCCCAGAGGCCGUCGGACCGCGGCAUCCCUUGGUGUGCACAGUGGGCGUGGAGAAGGACCCAGAGUCUGGAGCCUACAUCCUGGAGGACUGUGUAUCUUGGGAGGGGCCGGGGCUUGUUUAUACUUUCAUUGUUUGACUUGCUGCAUGCUUAAUGGUAGUUUCCUGAACAAGGUCCUGUUUCACCCCAAGGGCCCUGAACUUUAGGACGCUGACUGUGUCAAAGCAAGGUUAAACACAAACAAGCCGCAAGAAAAGGAAAGUCAAAACCAGAGGCACUGGAGGGAUCACAACAAAAAGCACCUUGAGAAGCACCGCGCCUACAAGACAGCAGCGCAGCAUGGCCGGCUCCCUGCCUCAAGCACCAGACACACUAACCCAGGUUCCGAGAGGGGGCAGGUCAACCCUGGAUAAAAUAAACUCCAGGAGGCCGGGCACAGUGGCUCACGCCUGUAAUCCCAGCACUUUGGAAGGCCGAGGCGGGCAGAUCACUUGAGGUCAGGAGUUCAAGACCAGCCUGGCCAACAUGGUGAAACCCCGUCUCUACUAAAAUAUGAAAAUUAACCAGGUAUGGUCGUGGGCACCUGUAAUCCCAGGUACUUGGGAGGCUGAGGCGGGAGAAUUGCUUGAACCCAGGAGGCAGAGGUUGCAGUGAGCUGAGAUUGUACCACUACACUCCAGCCUAGGUGACAGAGCAAGACUCCAUCUCAAAAAAAAAAAAAAAAGGAAACUCAAGGAAAGGAAAUGCAAAGGGUGGAGAAAGGAAUAAAAAUGUUGUUUAGCAAACCAAGGCUGGUUUCGGAACUCCAUCUGAUAUGGCCCAGACUUCCAAUCCAAAAGGAAGACCGUGCUGGCCAGACAGGUGGUCACCAUUAGAUUCUUAGUGCUUGACCCAACAGGUGCAGAGGCGUGUCUGUGUCUGUCUAAGAACACGUUUGAAUGCUGUACAAGACACAUACGUGAACCUUGUACCACAUGCACAGCUUUCAAACAUGCUCUUAUAUUCUCCAAGCCCUUUAGUGGGAAUGUCCCCUACAUACAUUUAUGCUUUGUGCCUUCCUACUUAUGAAAUUAACCCCUCAUUGUCACACUUGCUGAUAUGCAUGCUAUAUGCCCAUAGCAUGCCACGGUCUGUACACAGUGCAACCUUGUAGUUUCCAUGCAGUAAUAACAUAUCCCUCACAUUUGUAAUCAUGGGUCAAGGAAUAACUCUUCCAAGAUUUUCAAAGUCGAAAGGCCUGUCUCAAACAGUUCCUGACUUACACAUAUUCCUUCAAAGGCAUCCCAUCUGCCGGAGGAGUCCAGUUGAGUGGGACAACAGUGGUGUGUACCAGGGGAGUACACAGAAGGUCAGGGCUCAAAUUCCAGUCCUGCGGCGCACCAGCACCGUGAUCGUGAAAGCGGCACCAGUCCCGUGAUCGUGAACCCCGCACCAGCUCCGUGAUCGUGAACCCCACAUGAGCUCCGUGAUCGUGAACGAGACACCAGCCCCGUGAUCGUGAACCCUGCACCAUUUCCGUGAUCCUGAACGCGGCACCAGCUCCGUGAUCGUGCUAAAUGGCAUAGUAAUUCUGGCCAACCAUGAUGAAAUUUGAAUGAUUUAUUAGACUAGUCAAAACUGCCAGAUUGGCCACUUUUAAUUGGCCAUUUUUCACCAUUUAAACACACCCAGGUCUAGUCCAAUGGCAAAUGCGGUGAGUCACCUAAUCCCAGUCUGUGUGAUGGAAAGUGGAUGUCAGCCCGUGGAGACAGUAGCUCAGUUUUCUGCUUAUGAUGUUGACUGCACCCAGUCUACAGGGGAAGAGCAAGUCGUGCCCACCCCUGCCCCUUCUGAGAAGAGGGCCCCACAAAGCUUCCCUCUGCUUAGGGAGGGGAGUCAGGAAAUGGCCCAUCACUCCUUGGUGUCUUGUCCUGGUGUGGACACCUCCUCCCUGCAGGAAACGUCCUGCCCCAAAAGGGUGACACUUCUGUUAAGUACCAAGUAUCACUGACUCCAGCGUGCAGUUGCAGGGUGGGAAACAGGAAGCUGCACCCCCCAAAAUGGAACAGCCCAACGGGUUCACCUUGCCCACUGCCAAAUUAUCAAGACGGAUAAUUGCAGUCGAGAAAGAGUAAUUUAUGCAGAGCUGGCUGUGCGAAGACUGGAGUUUUAUUACUCAAAUCGGUCUCCCUGAAAACUCGAGGAUCAGAGAUUGUAAGGAUAAUUUGGUGAGCAGGGGCUCGGGAAGUGGAGUGUUGAUUGGUCGGGUUGGAGAUGGAAUCAGAGGGGGUUGAAGUGGGUUUUUGUUGCUAUCUUCUGUUCCUGGGGGGAUCGCAGAACUGGCUGAGCCAAAUACCAGUCUGGUCGGUCAGCUGGUACAUCAGAAUGCAGGGUCUGCAAUAUCUCAAGCACUGAUCCUAGGUUUUACAGCAGUGAUGUUAUUCCCAGGAGCAAUGUGGGGAGGUGUAGAAUCUUGCAGCCUCCAGCUGCAUGGUUCCUAAAUCAUAAUUCUAAUCUUGUGGCUAAUGUGUUAGUCCCCAGGCAGGAAGGGGGUUUGUUUUGGGAAAGGACUGUUAUCAUCUCUGUUUCAAAGCUAAACCAUAAACUAAGUUCCUCCCAGAGUUAAUCUGGCCUACGGCCAGGAAUGAACAAGGACAGCUUGGAGGUUAGAAGCAAGAUGCAGUCAGUUAGGUCAAAUCUCUUUCACUGUAAUAAUUGUCUCAGUUAUAAUCUUUGCAAAGGUGGUUUUAAAAAUAUUGCUCCAGGACCCCAAAUGUCUGAAGAAUUGGCCUUAGCACGUUACUGUAUUAUCAAUAUUUUGCCAGUCAGCAGACAACAAAAAGGGGAGAGGAAGUCUGGAUUGUCCAUCUUGGGUGGUGUUAGUGUUGGUGUUGGUAGUGAUGGUGGUGGAAGUGGAGGUGAUGGUAGGAGUGAUUGUUACAGUGGUGUUGAUGUUGAGGGUGUCAGUGUUGGUGGUGGAAUGGUGGUGAUCAUGGUGGCAGUGAUGGGGGUGGCAAUAGUGGUG
ensembl:lncRNA